CAGAGGGGGCGAGCGUUAUUCGGAAUUAUUGGGCGUAAAGGGCGCGUAGGCGGCUUUGCAAGUGACGGGUGAAAGCCCUCGGCUUAACCGAGGAACUGCCUGUCAGACUGUGAGGCUUGAGACCGGGAGAGGUGAGUGGAAUUCCCAGUGUAGCGGUGAAAUGCGUAGAUAUUGGGAGGAACACCAGUGGCGAAGGCGGCUCACUGGACCGGAACUGACGCUGAGGCGCGAAAGCGUGGGGAGCAAACAGGAUUAGAUACCCUGGUAGUCCACGCCGUAAACGAUGAGUGCUUGGUGUAGCGGGUAUCGACCCCUGCUGUGCCGAAGUCAACACAUUAAGCACUCCGCCUGGGGAGUACGGUCGCAAGACUG
rnacentral:rRNA from 1 species